rnacentral:tRNA from 1 species
GCUGAUAUGGCGCAACAGGCAGACGCGGUGGUCUCAAACACCACUUCUUCUCGGUUCGAUUCCGAGUGUCAGCACCA